GAGUGCAGCCAGACCUCUCCCUCUCCCUCUGCAUCCAUCCUCUCCUCCCUCCAGUGAACACACACACAGCCAUCGUCGCCUGCACCAGGGCUUGUGUGUGUGUGUGUGUGUGUGUGUGUGUGUGUGUGUGUGUGUGCAUGUGUGUGUGUGUGCGCAUGUGUGCCAGCGGUUUCCUUGCUACCAUUGUUUUAGCCCCAGUUUUUUGUCUUCCUGUGUCUCUCCUGUGUUUCUCCCAUCUCUCCCUCUCUCUCUCCUUCCUCUCUCUCUCUCUCCUUCCUCUUUCUGUCUGUCUGUCUCUCCCGCUCUCUCUCUCCUCUCUCUCCUUCCUCUCUCUCUCUCUCCUCUCUCUCUUUUCUCUGCUGCUGUCUUGUUCCUCUCUCUCUCUAUCUCACGCUCUCUCUCUCUCUCUCCUUUCUCUCUCUGUCUGCCUCUCCCUCUCAUAUGCUUGCUCUCUUUCUCUUUCCUCUGCUGCUGUCUUGUUCCAUCCCUCCUCUUUUUCACACUCCUCCCCCUUCCUCUCUCUCCUUCCUCUCACCUUGUCUCUCUCUCUCCUCCCUCUCACCUCGUCUCUCCUCGCUCGUUGUCCUUGGUCGAGCUCCAAGCCAGUGCACAGACACAAACACACACACACACACACACACGCACACGCACACACACGCAAAGCAAGCGUGCGUCCAGACUGCCGUCCUGCAGGAUCUCCUCCUCCUCCUCCUCCUCCUCUUCCUCCCGCUGGCUGAGGUUGCAGUACAGCUCCUGAGCGAGGACCCGGUGUGGAGCGGGACGGGCGAUGCCAGCUCACUGCAUCAUCUGACCGCCGUGUUUAUGAGAGCCCGCUGCACCAUGUCUGCCACACAUCUUGAAGAUACAGAGAAUGUGUUCGAUCUGAACGAGGCCAUUCCUGAGACGGAGCUGCUGGACAACAGCAUACAGAAAGGCAGAGCUCAGCUCUCGGUGAAGACCAGGAGACACCGCCCCUCCCGCUCCCACUACCGCGACAGCAUCAGCUCCACUGAGGGGGACGAGAGUUUGGAGAGGAAGGUGAGUGACAGAACUCACAGCCAAUCAGGGGAGCGGAGCAA
rnacentral:lncRNA from 1 species